ACUCCUGCGGGAGGCAGCAGUGGGGAAUAUUGGACAAUGGGCGCAAGCCUGAUCCAGCCAUGCCGCGUGAGUGAUGAAGGCCCUAGGGUUGUAAAGCUCUUUCACCGGUGAAGAUAAUGACGGUAACCGGAGAAGAAGCCCCGGCUAACUUCGUGCCAGCAGCCGCGGUAAUACGAAGGGGGCUAGCGUUGUUCGGAUUUACUGGGCGUAAAGCGCACGUAGGCGGACUAUUAAGUCAGGGGUGAAAUCCCGGGGCUCAACCCCGGAACUGCCUUUGAUACUGGUAGUCUUGAGUUCGAGAGAGGUGAGUGGAAUUCCGAGUGUAGAGGUGAAAUUCGUAGAUAUUCGGAGGAACACCAGUGGCGAAGGCGGCUCACUGGCUCGAUACUGACGCUGAGGUGCGAAAGCGUGGGGGGCAAACAGGAUUAGAAACCCGUGUAGUCCC
rnacentral:rRNA from 1 species